rnacentral:misc_RNA from 1 species
AACCUAGCACACCUGCGGUGUGUACCUGCGGAAGGAUCAUUACCUAGAGUUGUAGGCUUUGCCUGCUAUCUCUUACCCAUGUCUUUUGAGUACCUUACGUUUCCUCGGUGGGUUCGCCCGCCGGUUGGACAAAACUUAAACCCUUUGUAGUUGCAAUCAGCGUCUGAAAAAACUUAAUAGUUACAACUUUCAACAAUGGAUCU